CCGUGCUUUUAAAGUUCCACGCAACUGUUCUAGUUCACUAAAAAUAUCAUAUGUCGUUUGCCGACUGCGGGAAGAGUAUCCAGGGAGAAAUUCCCGUUAGCAGCGUUGGUCCAUCUCUCUUAAUUUUUCCUUGCAUGAAGACAAUAUAUAUUGAAUCUCCGAGGAAAGUGGAGAUCAAUAGGAUAGAAUACACGCCAUUGACGCCAGCAAUGGUCCUGGACUCUAAAAUAAGUCGAGCAGCAUCCUCCAAUGAGAUGGCCAUAUACUAAAGUAUGAAACGGUCCAGCGGUUUUCGAAACACAUUUUUGGACAUUCCAAAGAGGUACCUUGCAUUCUGGACUGAUUCCCGGUGGCAAGAGGCCUGGUAGGUUUAUACCUGCGAAUGGUGCUGGUCCUUUAAGAAAGGGUACGAGAUUAGGUGCAUGAGGGGAACCGACUGGGCUGGAACAAGCCAACACAAUGCCCGAUGCUGCUAUUAGCAACAAGGAUGAUACAAAUAGAGCCCUGCUUCCCUUCAUUAUUACCAAAUUUAACUUGCCCCUUUCCUUCUAUGUAUUGCAGCUGGAAUCAAUGCUUGCUGCAGGUUGGUGACAGACUGACAGCAAAAGAGGGCGUGGACCAUUUAUAUGGAAAAGCAAUGACUGUGGACCAAAACCAAGGUAGAGAUUUUAGGAAACUGUCGCUAAUCUUCGGUCAAAAAAUUAAUUAAAGAUGGAGUUAAUUACAUUCACAGUUGCAUUACAGUUCCUUUUUAUGAACCUCUUAGAAUUAAUGGUGCUAUCCGUUAUGAACAUCACAAGCUCACCUGCUAUUUUCAAGUCUAGCAGUUUUCUUUCUCGGUGGACAAUUUUUUCCCCUGGUAAUCAAUGAUAUUAAUGGAAUCCAUAGUGCUUUCAUAAACGAUCCAGAUGGAUUUGAUGGGUUAAGGAGAUAGAAUAUUAGGAAUAUUCAUCUGCCUCCCAUGUUCAGAACAAAGCUACAUUUUCCAAAGGUUUACCUCCAAUAUAUUCACAGAGGAAUGGAGAAGUCCAGAAAUCUGAUAAUUCUAAAUUUCUGCCAUCUAAUUAGUGAUAAGUUGCACUUUUUAAGAAGGCUUCUUCACCUUUUCCUCUCCAGUAGUUUUUUUUAACCAUCAACAGGUACGGGUCUUGUUCCCUUUGAGAAUUGCUAUAUAAAUUUACUUAUGUGUUGUAUAAACUUGCGUUAAGUUUAUACAGCAAGCCUGGAAUAGGCAAGAGCAGAGGUAGUCCGGAAUAGGCCAACAAUGCUGCCGAGUACAGUAAUACACGUAGUUGAUAGAAAAAGCUUUGUUUGCGGCCAUGACAACAAGUUGGAUCGAGUUGCCAGAUCUUUUGCUCUCUUAACAUUUCAAUAGAAAAGGCAACGGGCUAGGCUGGCCGAAGCAUUUUAGUCCACCGUGAUAACUUGGGAGUUACAACGAGGGUAACUCCUUUCCUAUUGAGAAUCCUUUACUGUUUAUUCACUGUGCACCAACACUCUAAUUACUGUGGAAUUCAACAGUGCUUCAGCCUUUAUCUCUUUCACACGGGUUCCUGCCUAAUUUUGUCUGUCACGUUCUUAUUUUUCUGGCUUUGUCUUGCUGCGUGGCACGCCUCAGGGGUUUGUUGUGCCAUGAUCAGAGAUCGGUUGGCUCUGGCUUUCUCUCCCAGUGUGGCGCGCCUCAGGGGUUUUUGUUCCAUGAUCAAAGGCUUGAUUUGGGUUGUUUGCGCGCAUGGGUUGUUUGUUGAGCUGUUUGUUUAUGGUGUUUCCAGCGGCUGGGUCGCUUGAACUUCUACGCAAGUCAAUGAUGGGUUUUGGUGCCAGUGAUGCUUGUGGCUUGGUCGUGGCUGAUUUUCAAAGAAGCGGACCCAUAAGCAUGAUUGUGCAUUAAAUAUUAUGUUCACCUGGCAGGGUUUUGUCUACAGGACAGCAUUGGAGAAGCUGCUGGUUUCUGGGUUGGAUUAGACCUUUGUUUUGUCUGGACAAAAAUUCUUGGGGUUUUAAGUGUUUUGUUGUUUUUAUUAUGCUUUUUUUGGCUUUUUUACUGGGACCAGAUCUGUCUUUCACGCUGUUCUAGUUUCGUUCCUUAAAUUUUUCGUUGGGUCUCAUGUCAUUUCCGGUCCUGUUUGAUUGUUUUUUUAUUUGGCUGCCAAGCUUUUUCCUUGGGAUUCCUGCUCCUUCAUAUCUUUUCUUAGGGAGUUUGUUCUCUUUGCUUGCUUCUCUUCUUUGUUUUUUUGGGUGGGUUUUCUUCUCUGAGAUCUGGUGGUUUGAUUUUUUUUCGCUUUUAUGAUAGUCAUUGUUCUUGAUGAGCUUUUUUUUUUUUUUUUCCAUCAUAAUCUCCACUAUUUCGGCAUUUUUGGUUCAGUUAUUGUGUCCUUUCUUGAUGUUUUUGAGCGUCGUUUCACUGUUUCAGGUUUCUUUCAUUGAACGUGCAGGCUGAAGUUGUGUGCGUCGUUCCACGAAGGAGCUGGUUAGCUAUCUGUUGGCUGGAACUGAAGCUUUUCUCUAUAGGUGCUCUGUCACAGUUCUUGCUUGGUGCUCCUCAUUGUCCCUGUUUUUCCUCUCAUUGUUGUUUCAUUUUAAUCUUUUGUUUGUUCUUUCUACUGUUUUUUGCCGGCUGCUCCUUAAGUCAUUUUAUUUCACCAUUAAUGCACCAGAUAAUCCACGAACCCACCCCUCCAAAAUCAACCUGAGAAUUCAGACUUUUAACUAAAAUUCAUUUCAAGAUCUGGGCUUUAUGCAGUUUGGAUUCUAGAAUCAACUUCUCCUCUCACAAGACAAUUAGUUAACAGGAAACAAUUAGCAUUACGGUGCAAGCGGGAUCGCUCACAACCGAGAUCAUUCUAUCACUAACUUAUGCUUCCAUUGAAAGCAACACUCCAGCUGAGCCACCUGCUAAAAAAAGCUCGCCUUGCAGUUUCAUCUCCUUCAAAGGUUUCACCCUUUUAACACAUUCCUCAGUCCUCACCCUUUUUUCCUCUACAUUUGUCAUUCAUAUUUUUUUUUUGAUCUAUUUUGUAUCCAAUGCAUACUUCUUUGUGAUUCAACAAUGGGCAACCUAGCCAUUAUUGGCUCUCUUCACUAUCAUUUUCUGCCGCACCAUCAUUUAUAAUCCAAUUAGAUUUUAUUGCUGUAUUUCUACUCUUUGUUUUUCAUUUUUGUAAUGUUUUCACAACAAUUCAUGAUGUCAGCUAACACCUCAAAUAAACACACGUUGUUAUUUCCAUUUUCAUUCAUUAUAUUGACAUAAACACGACUCUGGUUCAGAAGGGCAGUGACAUGAUGUGUGCUUCAUUGCAUGAUAUUUCUCAAGCAAAUUUUGUUCUUACCUGUUAACACAAAUAUUUACAAACAUGCACCCCCCUUAAUAUAUCCAAAGUCCAGACAUGCUUCGUGUUCCACUGAUCACUGUCAUUUCUUUGAUGCUCGUAUUGGUGUUCCUUCCGUCCACGAUGUUUUUUAGUAAUUAUUUAGUCACUCUCUUUUUGUCUUCCAUUACUAUCUCACUUUAACUUUUCCACACUCGAUGCUGGGAGACUAACAUGCAACCAAUGUGAUAAGAAUUCUGCAAGCCCAAAGAAGAAAGUUCCUUGCUUUGUUGUCGAGGCUUGCAAACCUGUUUGCUCACGUCCACUUCAUCUAUUUUGUUAAUUGUUAUUAAAAUAUUAUGAUAUGCAUGUUGAAGGGCUAUUACUUUUGUUUGAAUAUGAAGGGCUUUGCCAUGCUCUGAAAUCUCCUGUGCUCAAUGUUUUGAAUCAACUUUUUCAUACGUUUAAGAUUAUUUUCAGCGACUUAAUUGACAUCUAAGUAGAUGCUUUUCUUUUU